GAUGAACGCUGGCGGCGUGCCUAAUACAUGCAAGUCGAGCGAACAGACGAGGAGCUUGCUCCUCUGACGUUAGCGGCGGACGGGUGAGUAACACGUGGAUAACCUACCUAUAAGACUGGGAUAACUUCGGGAAACCGGAGCUAAUACCGGAUAAUAUAUUGAACCGCAUGGUUCAAUAGUGAAAGACGGUUUUGCUGUCACUUAUAGAUGGAUCCGCGCCGCAUUAGCUAGUUGGUAAGGUAACGGCUUACCAAGGCAACGAUGCGUAGCCGACCUGAGAGGGGGAUCGGCCACACUGGAACUGAGACCCGGGCCAGACUCCUACGGGGGGCAGCAGUAGGGAAUUUUCCGAAAGGGGCGAAAGCCCGACGGGGGAACGCCGGGGGGGUGAUGAAGGGCUUCGGAUCGGAAAACUCUUUUAUUAGGGAAGAAAAAAUGUUUAAGUAAAUUUGCCCGUCUUGACGGUACCUAAUCAGGAAGCCACGGCUAACUACG
rnacentral:rRNA from 1 species